rnacentral:rRNA from 1 species
GACGAACGCUGGCGGCGUGCUUAACACAUGCAAGUCGAACGGAAAGGCCCUGCUUUUGUGGGGUGCUCGAGUGGCGAACGGGUGAGUAACACGUGAGUAACCUGCCCUUGACUUUGGGAUAACUUCAGGAAACUGGGGCUAAUACCGGAUAGGAGCUCCUGCGGCACGGUGGGGGUUGGAAAGUUUCGGCGGGUGGGGAUGGACUCGGGGCUUAUCAGCUUGUUGGUGGGGUAGUGGGUUACCAAGGCUUUGACGGGUAGCCGGCCUGAGAGGGUGACCGGCCACAUUGGGACUGAGAUACGGCCCAGACUCCUAUGGGAGGCAGCGGUGGGGAAUAUUGCACAAUGGGCGGAAGCCUGAUGCAGCAACGCCGCGUGCGGGAUGACGGGCUUCGGGUUGUAAACCGCUUUCGCCUGUGACGAAGCGUGAGUGACGGUAAUGGGUAAAGAAGCACCGGCUAACUACGUG